CAACAAAAACUUAAAAUUUGAAAUUUGACGAAGGCUGCAAAGUUGGAGUACAUAUUUGGUAGCAAGAGGAUGCAGUACAUUCACCAAAAUCAUUCUCGGAACCAUCUAUGCUUACGCUUUUAUGCUCAUCUCACACAAUAUAAUGACCACUCCAGAUGGAAUUUCCAUGAUAUUGCUCAGGCAUUGUAGUAAAUUGCUGAUUUCCAUUUAAGAGUUGCUGUUGCAACUGCUGCUCUUGCUGUACACUUAGAUGCUCAUAGGGUUGGUAAUUAUGCCAGACUUUCUGUUUUUCAGUCUGUAAUUGAACUGAUGGCACCUGUUUUCCAGGAAAAGGGAAGCUAAGUGUCCCAGUCAAGCCAUUACUGCUAUUGACAUACUGAGACAUUGCUUGAGAAGUGAUAGUAGAGGUAUUAUUGAGCCCUGAGCCUUUUGUUGAUGAUGGUAAUUGAUAGCCAUCCAACCAACUAUAAUCAUCUGUCAGUGAAGUGUCACUCAUCAAAUCUGAACUGGUAACAAUUUCAUUCACUUGUUUAAGAGGACCAUGACCAAAGCCUGGAGGAGGCCCAAGGUGCCUUA
rnacentral:misc_RNA from 1 species